AUUGAACGCUGGCGGCAUGCCUUACACAUGCAAGUCGAACGGCAGCACGGGUGCUUGCACCUGGUGGCGAGUGGCGAACGGGUGAGUAAUACAUCGGAACGUACCUUAUCGUGGGGGAUAACGCAGCGAAAGUUGCGCUAAUACCGCAUACGCCCUGAGGGGGAAAGCGGGGGACCGUAAGGCCUCGCGCGAUCAGAGCGGCGGAUGUCUGAUUAGCUUGUUGGUGAGGUAAAAGCUCACCAAGGCGAUGAUCAGUAGCUGGUCUGAGAGGACGAUCAGCCACACUGGAACUGAGACACGGUCCAGACUCCUACGGGAGGCAGCAGUGAGGAAUAUUGGUCAAUGGGAGCAAUCCUGAACCAGCAAUGCCGCGUGUGGGAUGAAGGCGCUUCGCGUCGUAAACCACUGUCGGACGGGACGAAAGGAGCUAUGAAGCUCUAGGACGGUACCGUCAAAGGAAGGAUCGGCUAACUACGUGCCAGCAGCCGCAGUAA
rnacentral:rRNA from 1 species